AAUGAACGCUGGCGGCAGGCCUAACACAUGCAAGUCGAACGGAUCCUUCGGGAUUAGUGGCGGACGGGUGAGUAACGCGUGGGAACAUACCCUUUGGUACGGAAUAGCCUCGGGAAACUGGGAGUAAUACCGUAUGUGCUCUUCGGAGGAAAGAUUUAUCGCCAAAGGAUUGGCCCGCGUUGGAUUAGGUAGUUGGUGGGGUAAUGGCCUACCAAGCCGACGAUCCAUAGCUGGUUUGAGAGGAUGAUCAGCCACACUGGGACUGAGACACGGCCCAGACUCCUACGGGAGGCAGCAGUGGGGAAUCUUAGACAAUGGGGGAAACCCUGAUCUAGCCAUGCCGCGUGAUCGAUGAAGGCCUUAGGGUUGUAAAGAUCUUUCAGUGGGGAAGAUAAUGACGGUACCCACAGAAGAAGCCCCCGGCUAAACUCCGUGCCAGCAGCCGCGGUAAU
rnacentral:rRNA from 1 species